rnacentral:rRNA from 1 species
AAAGGGUCCGUCUUGAAACACGGGCCCCUGCAUAUCAAUAAGCGGAGGAAAAGAAAACAAAAGGGAUUGCCCCCUGUAACGGCGAGUGAAGCGGCAACAGCUCAAAUUUGAAAGCCGGCCCUCCGGCCCGCGUUGUAAAUUGUAGGGGAGACCUCGCGGAAGGUUCCCCCCGAGUCCACUGGAACGUGGCGCCGGGGAGGGUGAGAGCCCCGUAUAGUUGGACACCGCGUGCGUGUGAGGUUCCUUCGACGAGUCGAGUAGUUUGGGAAUGCUGCUCUAAAUGGGAGGUAAAUUCCUUCUAAAGCUAAAUAUGAGCCCGAGACCGAUAGCGCACAAGUAGAGUGAUCGAAAGAUGAAAAGCACUUUGAAAAGAGAGUCAAACAGCACGUGAAAUCGUUGAGAGGGAAGGAUUUGUGACCAGACUUGCGCCGCGCGGAUCUCUCGGUGUUCUCACCGGUGCACUCCACGCGGUUCAGGCCAGCAUCGGUCUCCAGCGGGGGACAAACGCGGCGGGAACGUAGCUCUCACGGGAGGGUUAUAGCCUGCCGUAAAAUACCCCGCCGAGGAACCGAGGGCCCGCGUUUUUCCCGGAUGCUGGCGUAAUGGUCACCAAUCCCCCCGCCUUGAAAGGGAC